AUUGAACGCUGGCGGCAGGCUUAACACAUGCAAGUCGAGCGGACGAGGUUGCUUCGGUAAUUGAGCUAGCGGCGGACGGGUGAGUAAAGCUUAGGAAUCUGCCUAUUAGUGGGGGACAACAUUCCGAAAGGGAUGCUAAUACCGCAUACGUCCUACGGGAGAAAGCAGGGGAUCACUUGUGACGUUGCGCUAAUAGAUGAGCCUAAGUCGGAUUAGCUAGUUGGUGGGGUAAAGGCCUACCAAGGCGACGAUCUGUAGCGGGUCUGAGAGGAUGAUCCGCCACACUGGGACUGAGACACGGCCCAGACUCCUACGGGAGGCAGCAGUGGGGAAUAUUGGACAAUGGGGGGAACCCUGAUCCAGCCAUGCCGCGUGUGUGAAGAAGGCCUUUUGGUUGUAAAGCACUUUAAGUGGGGAGGAGGCUUACCUGGUUAAUACCUGGGCUAAGUGGACGUUACCCACAGAAUAAGCACCGGCUAACUCUGUGCCAGCCGCCGCCGUAAUAC
rnacentral:rRNA from 1 species